rnacentral:rRNA from 1 species
AAAUUGAAGAGUUUGAUCAUGGCUCAGAUUGAACGCUGGCGGCAGGCCUAACACAUGCAAGUCGAACGGUAACAGGAAGCAGCUUGCUGCUUCGCUGACGAGUGGCGGACGGGUGAGUAAUGUCUGGGAAACUGCCUGAUGGAGGGGGAUAACUACUGGAAACGGUGGCUAAUACCGCAUAACGUCGCAAGACCAAAGAGGGGGACCUUCGGGCCUCUUGCCAUCAGAUGUGCCCAGAUGGGAUUAGCUAGUUGGUGAGGUAACGGCUCACCAAGGCGACGAUCCCUAGCUGGUCUGAGAGGAUGACCAGCCACACUGGAACUGAGACACGGUCCAGACUCCUACGGGAGGCAGCAGUGGGGAAUAUUGCACAAUGGGCGCAAGCCUGAUGCAGCC